rnacentral:piRNA from 1 species
UGGAAAGUCUCCGCUAAUUCAGGUUUCUUC